CAAAACGUAGCUUAAUUAAAGCAUCUCGCUUACACCGAGAACAUAUAUGUUGAACCCAAAUCGUUUUGA
rnacentral:tRNA from 1 species